rnacentral:rRNA from 1 species
GACAGCAGCAGCCGCGGUAAUACGGAGGGAGCUAGCGUUGUUCGGAAUUACUGGGCGUAAAGCGUGCGUAGGUGGUUGUUUAAGUCUGCUGUGAAAGCCCUGGGCUCAACCUGGGAAUUGCAGUGGAUACUGGGCGACUAGAGUAAGGUAGAGGAUAGUGGAAUUUCCGGUGUAGCAGUGAAAUGCGUAGAGAUCGGAAGGAACAUCUGUGGCGAAGGCGACUAUCUGGGCCAUUACUGACACUGAGGCACGAAAGCGUGGGGAGCAAACAGGAUUAGAUACCCGCGUAGUCCCUGUCUCUUAUAC